rnacentral:rRNA from 1 species
CCCUUAGAUGUUCUGGGCUGCACGCGUGCUACACUGAUAUUGCCAAUAUGUCAUUCUUAUCCGAAAUGGAUUGGGUAAUCAAGUAAUGAAAUUUCAUGCUUGGAAUCGGUAAUUGCAAUUUUAUCGUGAACGAGGAAUUCCUAGUAAGCACUAGUCAUCAGCUAAUGUUGAUUAUGUCCCUGCCCUUUGUACACACCGCCCGUCGCUAUUACUGAUUGGGUGUUCAAGUGAGAUGCUUAGACCCUUGUUGCAUGGUUCAUUAUUGUGCUCCGAAAGGAAAAAGUUUCAAGCUUGAGUGUCUAGAGGAAGUAAAAGUCGUAACA